rnacentral:rRNA from 1 species
UACGAAGGGGGCUAGCGUUGCUCGGAAUCACUGGGCGUAAAGCGCACGUAGGCGGACUCUUAAGUCGGUGGUGAAAUCCUGGAGCUCAACUCCAGAACUGCCUUCGAUACUGAGAGUCUCGAGUCCGAGAGAGGUGAGUGGAACUGCGAGUGUAGAGGUGAAAUUCGUAGAUAUUCGCAAGAACACCAGUGGCGAAGGCGGCUCACUGGCUCGGUACUGACACUGAGGUGCGAAAGCGUGGGGAGCAAACAGG